CCUUAGAGACCAACUAAGUUUGUUAUUGGUAUGAGCUUUCGUGUGCAUGCACACUUCUUCAGAUACGUGUGAAUGCACACAAAAGCUCAUACCAAUAACAAACUUAGUUGGUCUCUAAGA